rnacentral:lncRNA from 1 species
CAAAGUGAAUGAGUUCUUAAAGUGAAGAUCAAGAUAAGAACGGAUAUGGUGCUUUAUUCCCUUUUGCAUACAGUCACUUUAGAUCAGGGUUUUUUCAAACUUGGCAACUUUAAGAUGUACGAACUUCAACUUCCAGAAUUCCCUAGCUAGCAUUCUUUUACAUCAUUUUUUUUUUAGAAAAUGGAUUGAAUCUCACCCUGAGAUCCUUAGGAGACGGACUAUGAACAAAAUAGUUUUAAUAGCUUGUUUAUAGCCAUCCCUAUGUGUAGUGCGAUUGUUCUGACCCAAACCUGGUUCCCAGAGAGCAAACACAAGACAAAGGCAGCAGCAUAACCUUUUAAUGUUUCAUCUAUGAAUCCUGUUUCCUCACAUAUAAAAGGCUGCUUCCAACUGAUUAGCUCCGACAAGAAAGAGCCUUGCCAAGUUUUUGCAAGGCUGCCAAAAAACAACAGAUAAGAAAUAUUUCACAACACAAGACUCUUCAAAUACCAACUAAGAUACUGCAAUGUCCACGAGGCUCGAGUUUCAAAACGUCUUUGCUUCCUGCAAAGAACGUCUGAUUCAACAGCUGGCUUUUAUCUUCUUGAAGGAGGGACCAUUACCUUGCAGCCUUACUCCCAAGUUGCCCGUGCUGCUGCAGCUGCUCUUUCCCUACGAGCAAUCCUGUACACAAGCGCACUUGGCACAGGCUCCUCGGGAACCUCCUCACCGCUGCUGCCAGCCCCCACAAUCUCUGAAGGCAGCAGUCCACUUCUAAUGGUCCUGGCCCCUCAUCUGAGUCCUCGCUCUCCUCAGCCAUCCGCACCUGUUGCCAGCUAACCACAACAGUGAUCACCUGGACAAAACCAAUGUGUUUUGUGGAACCAGAAAGUCUGUUUGCUGUAUCAGUUGCAACAGAUGCUGCUUGCCUGAUGUUGAUGCCUCUCUUACGAUUCUCCUACUAAAUUGCCUUUGCAUCAUACUAAUGUUUUUUUCCCCAUGUUCUGCAUAGUUGGAAUCAAGAUGACUACAGCUGCCCCAACGUCUGAAUAUUCCCUGCCUUGGAAGAACGUGACCACAAAAUCUCGACAGCAAAUCCUUUAUCAGAGCUCUGGAGCAAUAGUAGCAGCUAUUGUCGUGGGCGUCAUAGUAAUAUUUACAACAGUUCUGCUCAUCCUUAAAACAUAUAACAGGCACAUGAGAAUCAAACGAGAGCUGGAGCCAAAGAAUGCAAAGACCAACAUCCCCCCUGUUUUAGGACAGGACAGUAGCACCUCUGCCAGGAACAGUGCAGUGACAUUUGUCCCUGUAGACCUUUACACCCCAAAAAGAAGACUUUGAAGAAGACAAGCAAAUGGAGGAAUAAUCAGCAAGAAGUGAACUCUGUGGAUGCUUGAGGAAUGGAAUGGCUCCCAUCCCAUGGUCCACGUUUCAGUGGUCUGCUGGUCACCAUUUUUCCUCGUAGAAGGCAAAAAAUGACAUCUAAAGGCAACCAGUUGUGGAAAUAAUAUAUAUAAACUUGCUUGUUGGAAGGGACGGUGAGAACCACCAACCACCAUCAUUCUUGGAACCAAUCAUGCCCUUCAUAUUUUCUUGCUCUGUUAAUUUAGGUUCAGCUCCCAUUGUCCUGUAAAGUGAAAGUCACUUCUGCUGUAUGGAGGUUCUGAAGACGUCAGAGGGCUUAGUCUUCAUCUUGGUUUGUAGCGGAUAAUAUAGAAUCAAUAUUCUUUCAUUUUUGGGCUCUUAAAAAGAAGUAGCAGACAUUACCACCGGUUGCCAACCCUCUUCCACCAUGGUCAACUUUCAAAAUUAGGAGUACCUUGUUUGUUGGCAGACUUAGUGCCUUUCUGUAGAAUUUCUCAACCUUGGCUCCUUUAAAAUGUGCUGGCUGGGGAUUUCUGGGAGUUGAAGUCCACACAUCUUAAAUUUGCUCAAGUUGACAAACACUGUUUACCCAGACAAGCAAAAAACUUGAUUUCAACAGUCAUGUUUUAUUAGGCUGGUUUUAGCCAACCUCAAAUUUUCUUGAGAAUGAGUGUGUAUUCUCCCAGUCCAAUCUUCACCAAACUGACAAGUGAGUUGAUAACAUUCAGUGGAUCAAAGCUAGAAUUUUAGGCUGCCUUGUCAGGAUAGAAGAUAGAUAGAGACCUCUAAGAGAAGAUGCUAGAUCUCUCUAUAUACAGAGUUAUGAGGGGGUUUUGCUCUCCUUUUCCUGUGGAACAUGUCUUUAAUGCCUUCCCUAAAUGCUACAGGGAGGGUGGGGAAAUCAACAGAUCGAUUGUGCUGAGUGUAUAAAGUGAUCCUGCCUAGGUACACAUCCUGGUGGAAGUGAAUUGUCCUAGCUUAGAGUCUCAAGCACAAAAAAACAUGAAGUGAAUCUGAAGUGGGAAUUCGUGAAAAGGUUGUGAUCCUUUUGUAAGGCCCCAAUAGAUACAAUCCUGUAGUCAAUUUAGUAGGCUAAAUUGUUCCCGUUUACUUAACUGAAACUUUGCAGCACAGAAAUAGUUUGGGGAGAUCAGCCUGUCUUCAGAAUCUUGUCGCUGAAGCAUCUGUAUUUAUUACCUCUCCUUUUUCCUUUGAAAUAAACUGAACGGGGAAAGGAUACUUUUAAAUAGC